rnacentral:lncRNA from 1 species
AAAUCCACAGUAUAAACAAAUAUUAUAUCGAUACAUAAUUUGUGUAAUUAUUGAGGUAGAAUUAAUUCUAAAUAUUUCAAUAACUGACCAACAUCUGGAAUCUAUAUAGGAAAUUGAAAAUUAUCAGACUCUAAACUUGACCUCUUGCUGUGUUCCGCUUUGAAGCCUGUUAUACCGUAUGUUUCAUUCAAUACACGAUAUUAAGAC